rnacentral:rRNA from 1 species
CUACCACAUCCAAGGAAGGCAGCAGGCGCGCAAAUUACCCACUCCCGGCACGGGGAGGUAGUGACGAAAAAUAACAAUACGGGACUCUUACGAGACCCCGUAAUUGGAAUGAGUACAACACAAAUCCUUGCGCGAGGAUCCAUUGGAGGGCAAGCCUGGUGCCAGCAGCUGCGGUAAUUCCAGUUCCAAUAGCGUAUAUUAAAGUUGUUGCGGUUAAAAAGCUCGUAGUUGGAUCUCAGUUCCAGGCGGGCGGUCCGCCUAACGGCGGCCACCGUCCGUUCUGAACAGCCAGCCGGCUGCGCUCGAUGAUCUUCACCGGUUGUCCCGGGCGGCCGGCACGUUUACUUUGAAAAAAUUAGAGUGCUCAGCGCAGGCGCGACGCCUGGAUAAUGGUGCAUGGAAUAAUGGAACAGGACCUCGGUCCUAUUUUGUUGGCCUUCGGGACGAGAGGUAAUGACUAAGAGGGACAGACGGGGGCAUUCGUAUUGCCGCGCUAGAGGUGAAAUUCUUGGACCGCGGCAAGACGAACAGCAGCGAAAGCAUUUGCCAAGAAUGUUUCCAUUAAUCAAGAACGAAAGUUAGAGGUUCGAAGGCGAUCAGAUACCGCCCUAGUUCUAACCAUAAACGAUGCCAGCCAGCGAUCGGGCUGCGUUCCUCAAAUGACGCGCCCGGCAGCUUCCGGGAAACCAAAGCCUUUGGGUUCCGGGGGAAGUAUGGUU